UAGAGGGUAGCAAUAUUCUCUAGUCGGAGUGGCGCAAGGGUGCGUAACACGUGGGUAAUCUGCCGUGAAGCUUGGGAUAACUCGCUGAAAGGCGAGCUAAUACCGGAUGUGAUGACUAGAUGGCAUCAGAUGGUCAUUAAAGCUGGGGACCGCAAGGCCUGGCACUUCACGAUGAGCCCGCGGCCUAUCAGCUAGUUGGUGAGGUAACGGCCCACCAAGGCUAAGACGGGUAGCUGGUCUGAGAGGACGACCAGCCACACUGGAACUGAGACACGGUCCAGACACCUACGGGUGGCAGCAGUCGAGAAUUUUUCACAAUGGGCGAAAGCCUGAUGGAGCGACGCCGCGUGGGGGAUGAAGGGCUUCGGCUCGUAAACCCCUGUCAUUUGCGAACAAACCUUUCCCGUUAAUACCGGGAGAGCUGAUGGUAGCGAAAGAGGAAGGGACGGCUAACUCUGUGCCAGCAGCCGCGGUAAUACAGAGGUCCCAAGCGUUGUUCGGAUUCACUGGGCGUAAAGGGUGCGUAGGUGGUGAGGUAAGUCGGAUGUGAAAUCUCUGAGCUCAACUCAGAAAUGGCAUUGGAAACUACCUUGCUUGAGGAUUGGAGGGGGGACUGGAAUUCACGGUGUAGCA
rnacentral:rRNA from 1 species